CCCAAUCCAAGAAGUAGACUUCUUACUUCUAAUCACUUCUCUCUACGCUCUGCAUAAUUUCUUCUGUGUUUGCCGAUGGAGUAUCGGAAUUCGUCAAGGGAUUGGGAUGAUUCUCCAUUCUAAUUCACACUAGCUGAGGCAAGAUCUUAUGCUAUGCUUGAGUUUAUGUCUUUCAAUCGAUGCGUCCGAGUCUAGUUUUCCUGUUCGAGUUAUGCGCAGAACUUCCUUACUGCAUUUUCUGAUUUGAAAUUGCCGAUUUCGAUUUUGUAUUUCCAUUUAUUGUGCCGCUAAUUGUAGAGAUUGUGGAGAUGGAUAAUAUCUUAAAGGACUCUGAAGAUCGAACACUUGGUCAAGUGCUUUUCCAAGAUUUGGUACUUCAUUUCAGGUUGUAGUGUGCAGUUUUUGUAAAGCUUCGAUCGCUUCUUCAAACGAGUAUUUGUGCAAUCCAUCAUCGUGUCUUUCCUUUCAUGCUUGAUUUUUCUGCAGUUGCUCCCCGUGGCGCGCUAGAAAAUCUCCCGUCACUGCGGUACAGGUCUUCGAUUUUUUUCUUAUCCAUUGUGUCUGUUGAUAUUUGGUAAUUCUUAUCUGCCUAGGUGCAUGACUGGUUCGAGAUUCAGAAAAAUUAAUUGCGAAGUAGUUGUAAAAAAGCGCGGCCUCCACCUCUACCUUCGUCAUCACCUUCGCCUCCGACUCCGCCUCCGAAACUUGUACUUAAUUAUUCGGACACUACUUUUUUAACUGACGCACCGUCAUCUGGACCACCUGAAUUCAAAGGCAAUGCAACUGAUCUUUCAAGAUUAGCAUUCAAAGCCUUUUCGUCAAUAGACGAUGCAUGUCAUUCAGGAUGUCACACCCUUGAUAAGACUGACAUUCAGUUCAAAUCCUGUAAGAAAGCUUUACAGAAGUCGGGAUAUAGAUUACUUAGCUCCACGGAGUUAGAAACAAAGUUGAAAAAGUGGUUGAAAGUUGGCUGCAAUGAUAUUUACAUGGUAUGACGUUGCUUCGUGCCUCAGUUACCGAGUUAAUUGCCAUGGAGAACUA